rnacentral:rRNA from 1 species
UACGUAGGCAGCGAGCGUUGUUCGGAAUUACUGGGCGUAAAGAGUGUGUAGGCGGUGCUCCCAGUCUGUUGUGAAAUCUCCCGGCUUAACUGGGAGGGUGCAGCGGAAACUAGAGUGCUAGAGGGUGGGAGAGGUAAGCGGAAUUCCUGGUGUAGCGGUGAAAUGCGUAGAGAUCCGGAAGAACACCGGUGGCGAAGGCGGCCUGCUGGGCAGUGGCUGACGCUGAGGCGCGAAAGCGUGGGUAGCAAACAGG